CCCUUAGAUGUUCUGGGCCGCACGCGCGCUACACUGAUGCAUUCAACGAGUUUCUUCCUGGUCCGAGAGGAAUGGGUAACCUUUUGAAAGUGCAUCGUGAUAGGGAUAGACUAUUGCAAUUAUUGGUCUUCAACGAGGAGUUCCCAGUAAGCGCGAGUCAUAAGCUCGCGUUGAUUACGUCCCUGCCCUUUGUACACACCGCCCGUCGCUACUACCGAUUGAACGGUUUAGUGAGGGCCUCGGAUUGGUCUCGGCCCGCUCUUUACCGGGCGGCGCCGUUGGUCGAGAAGACGCUCGAACUUGAUCGUUUAGAGGAAGUAAAAGUCGGAACA
rnacentral:rRNA from 1 species